rnacentral:rRNA from 1 species
UUAUGCUUAGGGCUACACACGUGCUACAAUGGGUAGUACAGAGGGUUGCCAAGCCGUAAGGUGGAGCUAAUCCCUUAAAGCUACUCUCAGUUCGGAUUGUAGGCUGAAACUCGCCUACAUGAAGCUGGAGUUACUAGUAAUCGCAGAUCAGAAUGCUGCGGUGAAUGCGUUCCCGGGUCUUGUACACACCGCCCGUCACACCACGGGAGUUGGAGACGCCCGAAGCCGAUUAUCUAACCUUUUGGAAGAAGUCGUCGAAGGUGGAAUCAAUAACUGGGGUGAAGUCGUAACAAGGUAGCCGUAUCGGAAGGGGCGGCUGGAUCACCUCCUUUCUAAGGAGA